UACGGAGGGUGCAAGCGUUAUCCGGAUUCACUGGGUUUAAAGGGAGCGUAGGUGGGCUGGUAAGUCAGUGGUGAAAUCCCCGAGCUUAACUUGGGAACUGCCAUUGAUACUAUCAGUCUUGAAUACUGUGGAGGCUAGCGGAAUAUGUCAUGUAGCGGUGAAAUGCUUAGAUAUGACAUAGAACACCAAUUGCGAAGGCAGCUGGCUACACAAAUAUUGACACUGAGGCUCGAAAGCGUGGGGAGCAAACAGG
rnacentral:rRNA from 1 species